AUACGUAGGUCCCGAGCGUUGUCCGGAUUUAUUGGGCGUAAAGCGAGCGCAGGCGGUUAGAAAAGUCUGAAGUGAAAGGCAGUGGCUCAACCAUUGUAGGCUUUGGAAACUGUUUAACUUGAGUGCAGAAGGGGAGAGUGGAAUUCCAUGUGUAGCGGUGAAAUGCGUAGAUAUAUGGAGGAACACCGGUGGCGAAAGCGGCUCUCUGGUCUGUAACUGACGCUGAGGCUCGAAAGCGUGGGGAGCAAACAGGAUUAGAUACCCUGGUAGUCCACGCCGUAAACGAUGAGUGCUAGGUGUUUGGUCCUUUCCGGGACUCAGUGCCGCAGCUAACGCAUUAAGCACUCCGCCUGGGGAGUACGACCGCAAGGUUGAAACUCAAAGGAAUUGACGGGGGCCCGCACAAGCGGUGGAGCAUGUGGUUUAAUUCGAAGCAACGCGAAGAACCUUACCAGGUCUUGACAUCCCUCUGACCGCUCUAGAGAUAGAGUUUUCCUUCGGGACAGAGGUGACAGGUGGUGCAUGGUUGUCGUCAGCUCGUGUCGUGAGAUGUUGGUUUAAGUCCCGCAACGAGCGCAACCCCUAUUGUUAGUUGCCAUCAUUGAGUUGGGCACUCUAGCGAGACUGCCGGUAAUAAACCGGAGGAAGGUGGGGAUGACGUCAAAUCAUCAUGCCCCUUAUGACCUGGGCUACACACGUGCUACAAUGGCUGGUACAACGAGUCGCGAGUCGGUGACGGCAAGCUAAUCUCUUAAAGCCAGUCUCAGUUCGGAUUGUAGGCUGCAACUCGCCUACAUGAAGUCGGAAUCGCUAGUAAUCGCGGAUCAGCACGCCGCGGUGAAUACGUUCCCGGGCCUUGUACACACCGCCCGUCACACCACGAGAGUUUGUAACACCCGAAGUCGGUGAGGUAACCAUUUGGAGCCAGCCGCCUAAGGUGGGAUAGAUGAUUGGGGUG
rnacentral:rRNA from 1 species